GAUGAGAACGCAGCGAAAUGCGAUAAGUAAUGUGAAUUGCAGAAUUCAGUGAAUCAUCGAAUCUUUGAACGCACAUUGCGCCCGCCAGCAUUCUGGCGGGCAUGCCUGUUCGAGCGUCAUUUCAACCCUCGAGCCCCCCCGGGGGCCUCGGUGUUGGGGGACGGCACACCAGCCGCCCCCGAAAUGCAGUGGCGACCUCGCCGCAGCCUCCCCUGCGUAGUAGCACACACCUCGCACCGGAGCGCGGAGACGGUCACGCCGUAAAACGCCCAACUUCUUAGAGUUGACCUCGGAUCAGGUAGGAAUACCCGCUGAACUUAAGCAUAUCAAUAAGCGGAGGA
rnacentral:misc_RNA from 1 species